UACAGAGGGGGCAAGCGUUAUUCGGAAUUAUUGGGCGUAAAGGGCGCGUAGGCGGCCAUUCAAGUGACGGGUGAAAGCCCUCGGCUUAACCGAGGAACUGCCUGUCAGACUGGAUGGCUUGAGACCGGGAGAGGUGAGUGGAAUUCCCGGUGUAGAGGUGAAAUUCGUAGAUAUCGGGAGGAACACCAGUGGCGAAGGCGGCGAUCUGGGUCGAUACUGACGCUGAGGUGCGAAAGCGUGGGGAGCAAACGGG
rnacentral:rRNA from 1 species